CGCCCUCCGCGAAUGCUUUUUGGGGUAAGGGCUUCCCGGCUAGGUAGUUAUAUACAGCAAGCCCAGACCGCAAAAAGAUUCGCGAAGGACA